rnacentral:lncRNA from 1 species
AAAAUCUGUUGUUAAAGGGUUGAUUAAUUUUGUCUGUUUGCUUACUUCUGAAAGCAUUUCUUUGAAUUUCAUCGGUGGGAGUCUAAUCCUGUUAACCUUUGAAGUUAACAGCAAAUUUCCAGCCACUUUCUGGAUCAGAGCAGUUACAGUCUAUGAUAUGAGGGAAACCCGGUUUUUCAGCCAAGUGACUUCCAUAGGAUUCUGCAGUGCAUAGAAAUAUCCACCAUUCCUCUUCCUCAAAGAUAAGAGAAACAGCUGGGGCCUAUUUCUCUCAGCCCAUCCAGAGGUUAUUUGGGAUGUUUAGGAAAUCUGUGUAUCCCCCAACACUUAAGGAGACUUCACAAAACUUUGCAAUGUGGUCUUGUAGCCUAGGGCAUAGAAAGCACAGUUAUCUUAUAAUAUUCCUGUAUAAUGGUUGCCAAGGGGAUGUUUAAUGUUGUUACGCAGGAAGCUGUGCUGAACAAGAGUCUUUUGCUUUCAGAUCAGACUCUGGGCAGGAAGUGAAUCUUCACAGGGAAGGAAGCAACAAAACUCUGCCUUUGGCUUUUGCUGGCUGAGCAGGGAAAGGCCUAUAGACACAGGGCAUUGGGCAGGAGCUAGAACAGCCCUCCCUAGAGCACUACAUAAAGCAGCCAAUAUUUUGCAAAGCAUAGGGAAGAGUGAAAGUCAUCCGGGGCAUUUGCAGACACAGCACUAAGAACUUGGUGACAACAGCCCUGAAGCAAAACAGCAGCAUGUACUGGGCAGGGCUUGGGAGAUAAGACAGGACAUCUGAAGCUAAACAUGGUGAGUCCAUUUCCUGGGCUUUCUGGAGCUAUGCAGGGUGAUAGGCUCAUCCUGGCUUGCCCAGGACUCUCGUCGUUUUAGUACUAAAAGUCCUGUGUCCUGGAAACUCCUCAGUCCCAGGCCAGGUGGUUCAGAGUCAGCAGUCCUGGAUGAGUCAGUGCUCUCCUACAAGCAGAGUUAGUUUCUUAACCUCCCUGAGUCACAAUUUUCUCAUUUGUAAAUAAAAUAAGGUAAUAUACUGCCUACUCUAAGUUUUUGUGAGGGAAGGGAAGGAGGAAGAAAAUGUUAAAAGAUCGUUUUUUAAGAGCAUCAAGUAGUUAUUUAUAGCAGUGUGAGAACGGACUAAUACAGGGUCUUUAGUGAGAAGUUUAUACUGGAACUAAAUGAAUCAUAUGUACGGUGGGUUUAUGUAAGAAUGGCUAAAUGGCUAAAUGCAGCAGGGUGUAUUCCUUAUCCACUGCUCUGUAACAAAUUUCACAGCUUAGAAAAAUAUGCAUUUAUCACUUCAUAGUUUCUGUGGGCUGGGCGUCCAGGAAUAACAUUGCUGGGUUCUCUGCUUCAGGAUCCCCUCUGAAAGCUACAAUCAAAGUGUCAUCCACAAAAUCUUAUCUCAAGCCUUGACUAGAGAAGGACCCACUUCCAAGACCACAGAGUUGAAUGAAUUCAGUCCUUGCAGCCCGUUGAACUGAGGGCCUCCCCAACAUGCUCACCUGCUUCAUCAAAGCCUGCGAGAGAGAGAGUCCACUAGCAAGAGGACAUUGCAGUCUUAUCUAAUGCAAUCACUGAAGUGACAUCCUGUCACCUUGGUCACCUUUUCUAUUCUAUUCAUUAUAAAUGAGUCCCAAGUCCUGCCACACUCAAGUGGAGGGGAUUACACAGGGCUGGAGUACCAGCGGUGGGGAUAAUUUGGGGUCAUCUUAGAGUUCUUCCAUCACACGGGAAUUCUCAGCUCACCAAAUCUGGGAUUCCGCAUCUGGCCAUUCCUUAAGCUGAAGGCCUGGCAUAUUUUUGAGUGUCCAUUUGGAUCAGCUAAUAAACCCAGGGUUUGUCUACUGGCUGGAGGAGUAAGAACUAUAAGGCUAAUUGAAAUGAAUCUACUUAAAAUAGUGACCUGAUUUUUCUAAUAAUUACUGGAAGGUAAGGGUUGAUUGAGACUUUAAAAUAAAACCAAAAAUUAUUCUAAAUUUUUCAUAUUUUAUAUAAGAAAGUUUUGAUUUUUACUGCAACCAUUUUCUAACUCUUAAAAUAAAGAAAGGAUAAUUCAAGUGUUGAUAUUUUCCCAACAUAAAUAUACAGGAACAUAAUGUAGCUUACUUGUAUUUUAUCUUUGAUUUACACAAGAGAAUUUUUAUACAAAUAUUCCAGGCUCAUUAGUUUUCCCAAAGGCUUCUCAUAAUCCUUUGAUAUUUAAAUCAUUCCCUCUUUCAAGUCAUUUUUUAUCUGCCUUGUCGAUACUCUUUUUGUUAAUUUGCCCAACUCAUCUGGAUCUUCCUUUGUCACUGGCUCUGUAAAUUUGAGUAUUUCUCCAAUAAUGCUCCUGUCAACUUUAUGAAACCCUUUGUCUUUUGCAAGAUUUAAAAAUUCCCUUUAUAAUAAGCAUUCUACAGUAAGUGAAGACUCACUAGCAAAUAUAUGAGUGAUGGAUCAAGAGAGACAAAGUGUUAAAAAUUGACAGAUGCAACUUUUAAAAAUGAAAUUCUUGGUUACCAUCUAACAAAGUAAGUACAGGACCUGUAUGCUGAAAACUACAAAACACUAAUGAAGGAAUCAAAGAAAGUGUAAAUAAAUGGAGAGAUAUACCAUGUUCAUGAAUUGGAAGUCUCAGAAUUAUUAAAAUGUAAAUUCUAUCCAAAUUGAUCUAUAGAUUCAACCCAAUCACAAUCAAAAUCCUAACUGGCUGUAUAAAUUGACAAGCUGAUUCCAACAUUCACAUAAAAAUCCAAAGAAUGUAGAAGAGCCAAACAGCUUUGAGAAAAGGAGAAAAAAGUUAAAGGAUUCACAUUAUCUGAUUCCAAGGCUUCUUAUAAAGCUACAGUCAUUGAGUCAGUAUGGUACUGGCAAAAGGAGAGACACAUUCUAUGUAUCUAUCUGUCUAUAUAUCUAUGUGAAAUAUAAUAAAGAGUUCAGAAAUAGAUCCACAAAUAAGAUCAAUUGAAUUUUGGCAAAGAUGAAAAAAUAAUUCAAUGGAGAAAGGACAGAAUUUUCAAUAAAUGAUGCUGAAACAAUUAGACAUCCAUAUGCAGGAAAAAAAUGUUUGACCUAUAUGUUCAUUUUAUACAAAAAAUUAAUUCAAAAAGAAUCAUAGACCUAAAUGUAAAACAUAAAAACUUUUAAACUUUUAAAAUAAAAUAUAGGUAAAAUCUUCGUGACCUACAAUUAGGCAGAGUUCUUGGAGAUGACAUCAAGAAUUUAAUUCAUAAAAAGAAAAAAUUUAUAAGUUGGAUUUCAUUAAAACUAGAAACUUUUGCUCUAAAAAGAGCAAAAUUAAAAUUAUAAGAAUAAAAAGAAAAGCCAUGGACUGUCAUAUGCCUGACAAAGGAUAUACAGACUAUAGGAAGUACUCUCAAACUCAACAGUAAGAAAAUAAGCAACCCAAGUUAAAAAUGGGCAAAAUAUUUGAACAGACACUUCACUAAAGAAGAUUAUAUGGAUGUUAAAUAAGCAUAAAUAAAGAAGAUAUAUGGAUGGCAAAUAAGCAUAAGAUUCUCAGCAUCAUUACUCAUUAGGGAAAUGCACAUUGAAACCACAAUGACAUGCCACUACAUACCUACUAUAAUGGGGAAAAAACUGACAAUACCAACUGCAGAGCCACUGGAGCACUCAUACAUUGCUAAUGGGAAUGCAAAAUGGUAAAACCACUUUACAAAACAGUUUGGGAGUUUCUUAUAAAGUUAUAACACCAAAACCAGAAACAACAAAAUGUCCCUCAACUGGUGAGGGGUGCUAUGGUCUGAAUGUUUCUGUCCUUCCAAAAUUUGUAAGUUGAAACCUAAUCCCCAAUGCAUGGGUAUUUGGAAGUGGGGACUUUAGGGUGGGAUUAAAUUAUGAAGUCAGACCGCUCAUGAACGGGGUCAGUGCCUGAUAUGGUUAGAAUAUGUAACUCUUCCAAAUCUCAUGUUGAAAUAUAGUCUCCAGUGCUGGAAGUGGGGCCUGGUGUGAGGUGUUUGGUCAUGGAGGUGGAUCCCUCAUUAAUGGCUUGGCACAUCCCCUUGGUGAUAAGUGAGCUCUCACUCUGAGUUCAUGUGAGAUCUGGUUGUUUAAAAGUAUGUGGCAUUCCCCCACACACAAUUUUGCCAUGUGAUGUGCCUUCUCCUGCUUUAUCUUCCACCAUGAGUAAAAGCUUCCUGAGGUCUCCCCAGAAGUCGAGGAGAUGCCAGCACCAUGCUUCCUGUACAGUCUGCAGAAUUAUGAGCCAAUAAAACCUCUUUUCUUUAUAAAUCACUCAAUCUCAAGUAUUUCUUUAUAGCAAUGCAACAAUGGACAAAGGCCGAGCACCGUGGCUCACGCCUGUAAUCCCAGCAGUUUGGGAG